UAGGAUUACCUAUGUAUGCAUCAUGGCUGC
rnacentral:piRNA from 1 species